rnacentral:rRNA from 1 species
UACGUAGGGUCCGAGCGUUGUCCGGAAUUAUUGGGCGUAAAGGGCUCGUAGGCGGUUCGUCACGUCGGGAGUGAAAACUCGGAGCUUAACUCUGAGCCUGCUUCCGAUACGGGCAGACUAGAGGUAGGCAGGGGAGAGCGGAACUCCUGGUGUAGCGGUGGAAUGCGCAGAUAUCAGGAAGAACACCGGUGGCGAAGGCGGCUCUCUGGGCCUUACCUGACGCUGAGGAGCGAAAGCGUGGGGAGCGAACAGG